rnacentral:rRNA from 1 species
AUUGAACGCUGGCGGCAGGCUUAACACAUGCAAGUCGAGCGAGCGGCGGACGGGUGAGUAAUGUCUGGGAAACUGCCUGAUGGAGGGGGAUAAAUACUGGAAACGGUAGCUAAUACCGCAUAACAUCAGAAUUGCCUAGAGGGGCUUAGCUAGUAGGUGGGGUAAUGGCUCUCCUAGGCGCCGAUCCCUAGCUGGGCUGAGAGGAUGACCAGCCACACUGGAACUGAGACACGGUCCAGACUCCUACGGGAGGCAGCAGUGGGGAAUAUUGCACAAUGGGCGCAAGCCUGAUGCAGCCAUGCCGCGUGUGUGAAGAAGGCCUUCGGGUUGUAAAGCACUUUCAGCGAGGAGGCGUUACUCGCAGAAGAAGCACCGGCUAACUCCGUGCCAGCAGCCGCGGUAAUUC